rnacentral:rRNA from 1 species
CCCUGGCUCAGGACGAACGCUGGCGGCGUGCCUAAUACAUGCAAGUCGAGCGGAGUUGAUGAGGUGCUUGCACCUCUGAUACUUAGCGGCGGACGGGUGAGUAACACGUGGGUAACCUGCCUAUAAGACUGGGAUAACAUUCGGAAACGAAUGCUAAUACCGGAUACGCGAUUUGGUCGCAUGAUUGAAUCGGGAAAGAUGGAGCAAUCUAUCACUUAUAGAUGGACCCGCGGCGCAUUAGCUAGUUGGUGAGGUAACGGCUCACCAAGGCGACGAUGCGUAGCCGACCUGAGAGGGUGAUCGGCCACACUGGGACUGAGACACGGCCCAGACUCCUACGGGAGGCAGCAGUAGGGAAUCUUCCGCAAUGGACGAAAGUCUGACGGAGCAACGCCGCGUGAGUGAUGAAGGUUUUCGGAUCGUAAAGCUCUGUUGCCAGGGAAGAAUGCUUGGGAGAGUAACUGCUCUCCAAGGUGACGGUACCUGAGAAGAAAGCCCCGGCUAA